rnacentral:lncRNA from 1 species
UUACUGGUUGUAGUAUUGUAUGAUUACAGGUACAGCUAUCGUUUCGUAUACAGAAAUUUUUUUUUUUUGUAUAUGGCGAAUUUGUCGGUGCAUCCGGAAAAACGAGUAAUCCGGGGCGUGACACGCUCCACCUUAUAACCCGCCUCCCGUCGGCGCCCCGAAUCUGCCCCGCCAACUAAUAUCUUUUAUAAAAUUAUAAUAUUAUUAAUAUUUUGUAAAAUAUAAAAUAAUAAAUUUUAAUAAUAUUAUAUAUAUAAUUUAACAAUAUCAAUUAUAAAAAUUAAAAAUAUCAAUCACAAUUCAAAAUAAAAUUCAAAAGUUUCAAAUACAUUAGAAAUGAGAGUACUAAUUUAUUUGCAUUUUAAACUUUUUUGUAAAUAUAUUAUUUUUUAGGAAUAUUUUUUUAAAAUAUAAAUAAUUUUCGGGGUAGAUUCGGGGCGGGUCAAAAUUUCUCUCGUUUCCUGCCCAAAUUUACCUUGUUUUCCGCCCCGAAUCCGUUUAUUUUCUCCAAUUUACCCCAUUUUCCGCCCCGAAUCCGUUUAUUUUUU